UACGGGGGGGGCAAGCGUUGUUCGGAAUUACUGGGCGUAAAGGGCUCGUAGGUGGCUUGCUAAGUCAGACGUGAAAUCCCUCAGCUUAACUGGGGAACUGCGUCUGAGACUGGUGAGCUUGAGUGCAGGAGAGGAACGCGGAAUUCCAGGUGUAGCGGUGAAAUGCGUAGAUAUCUGGAGGAACACCGGUGGCGAAGGCGGCGUUCUGGACUGCUACUGACACUGAGGAACGAAAGCCAGGGGAGCAAACGGG
rnacentral:rRNA from 1 species